rnacentral:sRNA from 1 species
UUUUACCCCAGAUUACAACGGAAAGCAUUUUUCAGAUCAAUCUUAAAGUGUAAAGCUGGAUUAGGU